GAGUUUGAUCAUGGCUCAGAUUGAACGCUGGCGGCAUGCCUUACACAUGCAAGUCGAACGGCAGCACGGGAGCUUGCUCCUGGUGGCGAGUGGCGAACGGGUGAGUAAUGCAUCGGAACGUAUCCUGGAGUGGGGGAUAACGUAGCGAAAGUUACGCUAAUACCGCAUAUUCUGUGAGCAGGAAAGCGGGGGACCUUCGGGCCUCGCGCUCUUGGAGCGGCCGAUGUCGGAUUAGCUAGUUGGUGAGGUAAAGGCUCACCAAGGCGACGAUCCGUAGCAGGUCUGAGAGGAUGAUCUGCCACACUGGAACUGAGACACGGUCCAGACUCCUACGGGAGGCAGCAGUGGGAAUUUUGGACAAUGGGGGCAACCCUGAUCCAGCCAUGCCGCGUGAGUGAAGAAGGCCUCGGUUGUAAGU
rnacentral:rRNA from 1 species